rnacentral:lncRNA from 1 species
CAAGGUGGAAAACCAAGAGGACAGGAGUUAUAAUCCAGAGGAGGAGGUUUCUGGACCGUAGUACAGUCAUGGGAACUUUUGGGUUCUGGUGUUAGUUGCCUACAGGACUGAGAAUGUCUUUAUCUUCCUCUUGUUCCUAAAUGGAGUGCUGCUAUGAAUAUGUACCCUCCUAGUCUGCACCAGAAGACCAGCGACUUGGGUUCAGUAUUUUAUGCCACUGUAAAGUGUUCUCCCUUUGAAAUAAAAAAGGAGUUAGUAUGGCAAACCUGAAAUUCAAGUUUCCUUGGUGGAAACGGUGACUUAGGAUGUAUUAGCUCAGAAUAUAACAGACCGCGGCGAUAAGAAGUGGGCAACUUGGAGGUGAUGGUGGAUGCUCAGAAUUUUUGAGUUUUGGUGUACCGUAACUUUUCAUUUCUCUGGUUAACACUUGCCAAAAAAUAAAUCUUUUAAACCUGAAUUUCUACAGAG